GUCCAUGCCGUAAACGAUGUCUACUAGCCGUUGGGAGACUUGAUUUCUUAGUGGCGCAGCUAACGCAAUAAGUAGACCGCCUGGGGAGUACGGCCGCAAGGUUAAACUCAAAUGAAUUGACGGGGCCCGCACAAGCGGUGGAGCAUGUGGUUUAAUUCGAUGCAACGCGAAGAACCUUACCAGGUCUUGACAUCCCUGAAACUUUCUAGAGAUAGAUUGGUGCCUUCGGGAAUCAGGUGACAGGUGCUGCAUGGCUGUCGU
rnacentral:rRNA from 1 species